CAAAUACUCCCUCUGUCCGGAAUUAUUUGUCAUCAAAAUGGAUGAAAAUGGAUGUAUCUAGAACUAAAAUACAUCUAGAUACAUCCAUUUCAAUGACAAGUAUUUCCGGACGGAGGGAGUAUAAG
rnacentral:pre_miRNA from 1 species